GACGAACGCUGGCGGCGUGCUUAACACAUGCAAGUCGAACGGAAAGGCCCUGCUUUUGUGGGGUGCUCGAGUGGCGAACGGGUGAGUAACACGUGAGUAACCUGCUCUUGACUUUGGGAUAACUUCAGGAAACUGGGGCUAAUACCGGAUAGGAGCUCCUGCUGCAUGGUGGGGGUUGGAAAGUUUCGGCGGUUGGGGAUGGACUCGCGGCUUACCAGCUUGCUGGUGGGGUAGUGGCUUACCAAGGCUUUGACGGGUAGCCGGCCUGAGAGGGUGACCGGCCACAUUGGGACUGAGAUACGGCGCAGACUCGUACGGGAGGCAGCGGGGGGGAGUAUUGCACAAUGGGCGGAAGCGUGAUGCAGCAACGCCGCGUGCGGGAUGACGGCCUUCGGGUUGUAAACCGCUUUCGCCUGUGACGAAGCGUGAGUGACGGUAAUGGGUAAAGAAGCACCGGCUAACUACGUG
rnacentral:rRNA from 1 species